rnacentral:tRNA from 1 species
UCCGUUAUGGUGUAGUGGCUAACAUUAUCGCCUCUCAUGGUUUCAUCCAAUUGUGACGCGAUAGCCCAGGGUUCGAUUCCCUGUAACGGAA